UUGGAGAUUGAGAGGGGGACUGCUAACGCGUACGGACUACUUCCGGCCUGGAGUUCUGGAAACCGGAGGAAGCUGCGCGAUCCCGCUGUAGGGUGUCCCUGCCACUUGCCCUGGGUCUUUGAUGUAGGGCGUUCAGUUUUCCACUCUUGUGGCAAAACAAACCAUGAGGAGGAACGGACACUGUCCUAAGUAGUUGUAAACCAGCCCUCAUACUGCAAAUAUGGCAAACAAGGGAACAAGAAAUGCCAGCAGUUCUACCUGGAGGAGAAAAUACAAGCUGGAAAAGCUGUAGACUCAGGCAAGAGGAAAGGUGAUGAGGCGAAAGACUUCCGUAUCGCUCCUGCUUUAUCUAUAUUAAAGGACCGUGCCAAAUUUGAAGACAUGGCAAGAAGGCACCGGUGGGAUGCCAGUGGAAAAGGACGAGGGAUGCGCUCCGACAUCGGUAAGGCUGUUUGUGUUCGGUUUUAGGAACUCCGUGCCAGAAACAUUCUCGUGACCGGUCCUGUCACUUUGAAAAAAGGACUAAACUUGGCCAACAUAUUUGGCUAUGACAAUUUUCAAGCAGGUGCGGGCUGACUGAACAGAUCUAGGGAUUGCCACGGAACUGCUUUGAAAGCAGUCUGUAGAGAGGAUAGUGACAGGUUAAUGAAUGGUCUAGGAAUAGAUAAGGUUAACAAGUGGCGUGUAGGGGAAAUUAUAAAACUGAUUGCAGACUGCAGAUGAUAUCUUUAAUGCUGAUGAGACAGGAGGAUUUCUCCAGGUGCUCCCCCAGAACAUGCAGGCUGCUAACCUGGACCAUUAUAGAGGGGACAAGAAAGCAAAGCAGUGAUUGACAGUACUCUUGGUGCAAUGCUUCAGGGAC